rnacentral:rRNA from 1 species
GCAGCAGUGGGGAAUCUUGCGCAAUGGGCGAAAGCCUGACGCAGCCAUGCCGCGUGAAUGAUGAAGGUCUUAGGAUUGUAAAAUUCUUUCACCGGGGACGAUAAUGACGGUACCCGGAGAAGAAGCCCCGGCUAACUUCGUGCCAGCAGCCGCGGUAAUACGAAGGGGGCUAGCGUUGCUCGGAAUUACUGGGCGUAAAGGGAGCGUAGGCGGACAUUUAAGUCAGGGGUGAAAUCCCGGGGCUCAACCUCGGAAUUGCCUUUGAUACUGGGUGUCUUGAGUGUGAGAGAGGUAUGUGGAACUCC